GUGCCAGCCGCCGCGGUAAUACGUAGGGUGCAAGCGUUGCCCGGAUUUAUUGGGCGUAAAGGGCGCGUAGGCGGUCACGCACGUCCGUUGUGAAAUCGCUCGGCUCAACUGGGCGGGGUCAGCGGAUACGGUGUGGCUGGAGCAAGCUAGGGGGCAAUGGAAUUCCCGGUGUAGUGGUGGAAUGCGUAGAUAUCGGGAGGAACACCAGUGGCGAAGGCGGUUGCCUGGAGCUUUGCUGACGCUGAUGCGCGAAAGCGUGGGGAGCGAUCCGGAUUAGAUACCCGGGUAGUCCACGCCGUAAACGAUGUCGACUAGGUGUCGGGGGUAUCGACCCCCUCGGCGCCGCGGCUAACGCAUUAAGUCGACCGCCUGGGGACUACGGCCGCAAGGCUAAA
rnacentral:rRNA from 1 species